rnacentral:lncRNA from 1 species
UUGAGUCAAAGACCGGGGCGCACAAGUGAGGCAGGCCUCUCGCCAGUGGACGCCUGGAGAGGGCUGAGCGGUUGCCAUCCCUGCCCUGUGGGGGAGACUAGUGGGGUCCUUUAGGGAGAGCUGGCCACCCUGGGUGUCUGACCGAGGCCGAUACGGAACAGAGGCCCUGCCAGCUAGAGGUGGACAUGUCACAGGAGUGAGAAACCCACCCUUCUGUUCUUAAGCCACUUGUUGGCAACUUUCUCAGGCAGAGAAUGAAGACUUUAGGCUCGUCACAGGCCCUUGACUCUGCUGUAGACAAUGUGUGAGAGAAGGCAUGCUUGUGGCUGUGUUCUGAUGAAACUGUAUUUAUAAAGUGAAGUGGCCAGCUGGCAGGCCUUAAAUUUUUCACCCCAUUCGAAACCUUGAGGACUGGGGGUUUGUGUGUUUUCGCACCAUGACCUGGCCACACUGACGAUGGCAGGUCCAUUCGUGACCUUGCCUGUCUAGGUAAUGGAACCUGCCUAUGUGUGUGGAAUGCAUCUGACUUUGUCUGAAGAUCUGUGAUUUUUCCUCUUGGAUCCUCUUCCCACCCUUCUCCCAGCUCUCUGUCCUGGGAUAUUGGCCUUUAGGGACCUUGUCGGUGACUUUGCCUGGAAAGGUGACUUCACUCCUCUCGGGCGUCCAGCUGGAUCUGGCCCGUGGAGAGCACUGUCAGGACAGGCGAGGACAGAAGCCACUCAGUGUUUAUUGGAUCUGCAAGCAAGUCAGUGGAUGUUGCAUUUUCAUGGAACACUUAGCACAGCACCCUCCACGGUCCUGGUCCAACCAGUUUCCAGCUCUGUGGCCCCUGGUACCUCAUUUCAACUCCCUCCUGUCAUAGAUGAGAUCCACAGCGAUGCCUGCCUCCGAGCCAGCCUGGUGAAGUCAGCACCAGCAAAUGGCCCACACUCGCCAUGCCCUCCACAUGGCCCAGAAGAUGGGGCAUCUGGACGUGAACAGCCCUUGGGCAGGGUGGGGACUGGAGUGCUCCCCACCAACCUGGGCCCCUGCAAGAAUAAAGAUUUCACAAAUGAG